rnacentral:rRNA from 1 species
UUACACAUGCAAGUCGAACGGCAGCACGGGAGCAAUCCUGGUGGCGAGUGGCGAACGGGUGAGUAAUAUAUCGGAACGUGCCCAGUCGUGGGGGAUAACGCAGCGAAAGCUGUGCUAAUACCGCAUACGAUCUCUGGAUGAAAGCGGGGGACUCGCAAGAGCCUCGCGCGAUUGGAGCGGCCGAUAUCAGAUUAGCUAGUUGGCGGGGUAAAAGCCCACCAAGGCGACGAUCUGUAGCUGGUCUGAGAGGACGACCAGCCACACUGGAACUGAGACACGGUCCAGACUCCUACGGGAGGCAGCAGUGGGGAAUUUUGGACAAUGGGCGCAAGCCUGAUCCAGCAAUGCCGCGUGCAGGAUGAAGGCCUUCGGGUUGUAAACUGCUUUUGUACGGAGCGAAACGGUUUGCCCUAAUACGGUGGGCUAAUGACGGUACCGUAAGAAUAAGCACCGGCUAACUACGUGCCAGCAGCCGCGGUAAUACGUAGGGUGCGAGCGUUAAUCGGAAUUACUGGGCGUAAAGCGUGCGCAGGCGGUUAUAUAAGACAGAUGUGAAAUCCCCGGGCUCAACCUGGGACCUGCAUUUGUGACUGUAUAGCUAGAGUACGGUAGAGGGGGAUGGAAUUCCGCGUGUAGCAGUGAAAUGCGUAGAUAUGCGGAGGAACACCGAUGGCGAAGGCAAUCCCCUGGACCUGUACUGACGCUCAUGCACGAAA